CACCUUAAAACUAGUCCACCAUAUAAAAACAACAUAAACAACAGAAAUAACCCCAAAUAUAACAACUCAAUAAAAUAAAACAUUCUUCCCCCUUAGUAUGUGAGACAGAAAAG
rnacentral:rRNA from 1 species